CAGCCGCCACGGUAAUACGUAGGUCCCGAGCGUUGUCCGGAUUUAUUGGGCGUAAAGCGAGCGCAGGCGGUUUGAUAAGUCUGGAGUUAAAGGCUGUGGCUCAACCAUAGUUCGCUUUGGAAACUGUCAAACUUGAGUGCAGAAGGGGAGAGUGGAAUUCCAUGUGUAGCGGUGAAAUGCGUAGAUAUAUGGAGGAACACCGGUGGCGAAAGCGACUCUCUGGUCUGUAACUGACGCUGAGGAGCGAAAGCGUGGGGAGCGAACAGGAUUAGAUACCCCCGUAGUCCCUGUCUCUUAUACC
rnacentral:rRNA from 1 species